rnacentral:rRNA from 1 species
GAUGAACGCUGGCGGCGUGCCUAAUACAUGCAAGUCGAGCGAACAGACGAGGAGCUUGCUCCUCUGACGUUAGCGGCGGACGGGUGAGUAACACGUGGAUAACCUACCUAUAAGACUGGGAUAACUUCGGGAAACCGGAGCUAAUACCGGAUAAUAUAUUGAACCGCAUGGUUCAAUAGUGAAAGACGGUUUUGCUGUCACUUAUAGAUGGAUCCGCGCCGCAUUAGCUAGUUGGUAAGGCAACGGCUUACCAAGGCGACGAUGCGUAGCCGACCUGAGAGGGUGAUCGGCCACACUGGAACUGAGACACGGUCCAGACUCCUACGGGAGGCCGCAGUAGGGAAUCUUCCGCAAUAGGCGAAAGCCUGACGGAGCAACGCCGCGUGAGUGAUGAAGGUCUUCGGAUCGUAAAACUCUGUUAUUAGGGAAGAACAAAUGUGUAAGUAACUAUGCACGUCUUGACGGUACCUAAUCAGAAAGCCACGGCUAACUACGUG